CUCCUCUUCUUUCUUCCUUGUCGAGAAGCCUCAGGUUCUGCACCUUCUCCGCUUUCUUGCACAGCCAUGUUGGAUGCAGUAAGCCACCCACUCCUUUCCUCUCUCCUUAGCUGUUAUUGGGACAUCCAAACUAUGCCAAUUCCAUCAGCACUCCAGAUGAGGCAAGACAGAAGCCAGUCCCUCCCUCGGGCAGACUAUGAAAAGCCUGGAUACAUUAGAUGCAUACUUCCCUCUCUCUUUUUCCUUCAGGGAGAUGUUACAAGACAAGAUGAUUUCACUGGAAGCUGAGUUUUGCCAGCUUUGGGGAAAUGCUGAUGCAGAACAUCAUUUAUUUAAGGCUGAUACUCAUGGAUAGAAGAGUCAAAGUGCGAAUAUAUGCACCCUUCUAUACGGAUUCUGCAGAAAGAUAUGCUUGGGUCAUGACUCAGGGUAUAUUUCUUCCUCUUAAAGUGUACCUUCCCUGGAGCUUCAGCCUAAUGCCUGAGGUCCUCAGUGAGGUCCCUCCAUUCUUCCUAUCUAAGCUGAAACUUCAACAUCUUCAGGAGUGUGUGACACCUGGUAUGUCUGCUCAGUUCUGAGCUCUGUAGUGACUCCACUGUUGUGUUUUGGAAAACUUGUCAUGUGCACAUGAAUAAUUUAAUCUUAGAUUAUUAAAUUAUUGACUUUAAUACCGCAUGCUUAACUAAGAUAAUUAACAUCAGAAUAUCAUCUAAGAUUUGUCUUCUUAAAAAUCAAGUUUUACCAGAAUCUUAAUAUGAAUUAUAAAAUUAAUGAUUUUAUUGGGACAGUUUUAGAGAUCUGAUACUUAUUUGUAAUUUGCAAAUAUUCUAAGAUGUUGGUCAUUAGAGAACAUAUAUGAAUAAGUGCAUGUGGUAGUUAGGAGAGUGGAAAUGAAUACAAACUAUUAAUGGGUUGUUGCAGAAUAUUCUGACCUUACUGAAUAAACACACAAUACAUAUGCGCACACAUUCAUAGAAUCAGAAAGUCAUGAAAAGGCUGAAUGUAAAACAAAGAGCAUGAGAGACCCAUGUUCUUAAAUUCUAUUAGUACUAAAACUUCCAGUUAACAUUGUAGAAACAUAUAUAUUAGAGAAUUAUGAAUAAACACAGUCCUUGACGUAUGCACAAUCUGAGUUGAUCAAAGGACACUGGCAGAAACAUUAAAAAACUGUGUAAGAUAUUUCACUGCAAUUUUAUAAAUUUCUUCAGUAUAGUAGUAGUGUUUUCCUACUCAUUACAGGAUCUGGGGCCAUCUGCUUUUAAAAUAAUACCUUGCACAUAAUGGGAGAUCUUUACAUAAAGUUUGAAUAAAUUAAGGAAGAAUUAAUUAGCAAGUCCAUUCCUGCUAUGUCAUUUAAGCAAUUUUUUAUUCAUCAAAACAUACUACUUCAAGCUAAUAUUAAAUGGUUUAUAUUCAUGAAACCAUGGGCUAUUACUUAAUUCCUAGAAUUUACCUGCAAAAAAUCAUUGAUUUAUACACUAUACAAGGUAAUAUUCUGGUUCAUUCUCUGGAACAAAUUGCAACUUAAUUGAAAAUAGUAUGAAAGCUAGUAAGUAUAAUUCAAGUGAAAAGCCUUAAAUUCCAUAAGAAUUAAGAACCUUUGGUAAUUAAUAUACCAAACUUUUGGUAUUUGAAAGUGAAAAGAUGUAUUCCUUUAAGAAAAAUAAUAAAGUUGUCAAGAUGAGGAAGAAUUAAACGUACGUAAUAUUGGGCCCUAAUAGAUGAGUGAUGAUAACAGAAAGUAACGUCAAUCAAGACAACAGAACAGUAUGGGGUGUUUUCAGGGAGUAUUAUUUAAUCAACCUGGCGUUCUAAUGAUAGUGACUAUGAAUUAGCAACCUUACUUUGCCCUAAUGUGAGUGGCUUAUUAGAAGAGGCUCAGGUCAGAAGUGGGAUACUAGUGAGCAAGCUGCUGCUAGAGGUAAUGAGGCAAGAAACAGGAUUUUAACAACAUUAGAGAUCUCGUUAAUUCAAACUAAUGGAAAAAAUUGCAGUAACAUAAAAUGUAAAUCUCUCCAACUUUUAAAUUUAUAAUUGGCAGAGAAGGAGAAGCUAUUGAAGAUCUUGAUGCUUUGAAACUGUAUGAGAGGUGUUGUUAUCAAAAGAACUAGCUAGGAGAAAAAAGAAAAUAUACGUUGAUGGUAGCUGUUGGAUUUAGUUCUGGUUUAAAGUAUUUAGACAUGAAUCUGAUCCUGGAUUUCAAAAGGACCUUUAUUGAAAAUGUCAAGUGACAAGAGAUAUUAAGAUGCAUAAGAUUGAACACUACAGCAUCUUCUUUCAAUAAUUUGAUUUACUCACCCUUAUUUAAAGAAUUGAAUCUUUCUGUUCUCAAGCCUCCUUUUCACCAAUUAAUUUGAUUCAGGACAAAAAGUGGUGUUUGAUAUUUUCAACUUUAAAAUAAGUCAAUUUUCCUGCACGCUUAAAUAUUCUGUUAUCUUGAAUUCUAAUGAAGGACCUAUAACUAUGUAUUUAAUAUUUGGUAAAUUUAUACAGAUGUAACAUAUUAUUGAAAUAAGAUUGUAUAAACUAAACAAGAAAAUAGACUGAAAAUAUUGUCUCAAAAAGAACAAUUCUUGCUAUGCUUUUCUUGUAUUUAUAUUUUAUUCAUGUAAGCUGUUUUCUAUCCUGGAAAUAUCAUCCUCCUACUCUCCACCUUCUUUUCACCCUUCACUCUUGUCUUUCAAUGCUCAGCUAAAAUUAAACUCCUCAAACAGGCUUUCAAAGCUCAGUGUAGAAUCAUCUGUUAUUUCCUGCUUCCUCAGUAUUAACUUUUUAUAUAUUAUAUGUCUUGUUAUAUGUAUAAAUGUUUAUUUCCUAAAUCACCAGUACACUGUAAACUCUAUGAAGUUAGAAAUGUAAAAUCAACACCUAAUUUGGUAUUUAUUCAUAAUGAGAAUUUAACAUAUUUUUGCAUUGAUAAAUGAAUGUAGGUUAGCAAACCAGUAAAAUACACAUUUCACAUGCUGCCAAGUGAUUUAUUGAUCACAUACCAAUUCUAAUACUGGAGCAUCUUAUUUCAAAGAAUAUGAAGCAUUUGUGGUAAUUAUUCACAAAUUUGUUAGUAUAUUUUAAUUCUUAUUUUAUAGCUCAGUUUUAUUUUUGAUAAAUAUACAAAACUCUCAAAAUCUGAAUACUCCAUUUGCAAGCUGCUCUUAUCUAAUAAUCUUACCUUCAUUUCCUUUUUACAUCUUCUACCUUACCCAUUAAUUUUGCUAUUUUUAAUUGGCACAGCCACAUUUUGCAUCAUUCUAGUUUGUGCCUAUCAUAUGGAAAAGCAGAAGUGUUAUCUGUGACUGUUUGGAUUUUAUAAUUAAUUUGAACUACUUGAAGUGUGAUUUGUUCAUGGAGUCAUUGGAGAGGCAUAAUAUUAUUAAAAGCCAGAUGUUGGCACAUUUUGCAUGCUUAACAGGCACAAAACCAUUUCCUAGUGGAAACAUUUUAAAAAUGGUUUUGGUUCCCCUAUACGGAUUAUCAAUUCAAAUAAUCUCACUUACUUUUCUUUUCUUACUUUACAUGGGGCAAGUAUAUUGAUAUCUGAAACUGCAUUUGAAAAAUUUGGGAAAACAUUGAUCUUUCUGGCAAAUAGACUUUACUAAUUAAACAUACCUUCAAUAUCUUAAUGGGAAAUUGAAACAUAUCUCAAUUUUACUGCUUGAAAACCAGCAAUGCCAA
rnacentral:lncRNA from 1 species